CCUCCGGGAGGCAGCAGUGGGGAAUAUUGGGCAAUGGAGGAAACUCUGACCCAGCAACGCCGCGUGAAUGAUGAAGGUCUUCGGAUUGUAAAGUUCUUUUCUAAGGGAAGAGGAAAGUGACGGUACCUUAGGAAUAAGCCUCGGCUAACUCCGUGCCCGCAGCCGCGGUAAUACGUGGGAGGCAAACGUUAGCCGGAAUGACUGGGCGUAAAGGGUGCGUAGGUGGUUUGACAAGUUGGUAGCGUAACUCUGAGGCUUAACCUCGGAACUACUACCAAAACUGGUGGACUGGAGUGCAGGAGGGGCAAAUGGAAGUCCUAGUGUAGCGGUGGAAUGCGUAGAUAUUAGGAGGAACACCAGUGGCGAAGGCGAUUUGCUGGACUGUAACUGACACUGAGGCACGAAAGCGUGGGGAGCAAACAGGAUUAGAUACCCUAGUAGUC
rnacentral:rRNA from 1 species